UACAGAGGGUGCGAGCGUUAAUCGGAAUUACUGGGCGUAAAGCGCACGUAGGUGGCUUUGCAAGUCGAUUGUGAAAUCCCCGGGCUUAACCUGGGAACUGCAGUCGAGACUGCUUUGCUUGAGUAUGGGAGAGGGAGGUGGAAUUUCCGGUGUAGCGGUGAAAUGCGUAGAUAUCUGCAGGAACACCCGUGGCGAAGGCGGCUGACUGGAUCGCAACUGACACUGAGGAACGAAAGCUAGGGGAGCAAACAGG
rnacentral:rRNA from 1 species